rnacentral:rRNA from 1 species
GGGGAAUAUUGGACAAUGGGCGCAAGCCUGAUCCAGCCAUGCCGCGUGAGUGAUGAAGGCCUUAGGGUUGUAAAGCUCUUUCGCCGAGGACGAUAAUGACGGUACUCGGAUAAGAAGCCCCGGCUAACUUCGUGCCAGCAGCCGCGGUAAUACGAAGGGGGCUAGCGUUGUUCGGAAUUACUGGGCGUAAAGCGUAUGCAGGCGGAUCUUUAAGUCAGGGGUGAAAUCCCGAGGCUCAACCUCGGAACUGCCUUUGAUACUGGAGAUCUUGAGUCCGGGAGAGGUUAGUGGAACUGCGAGUGUAGAGGUGAAAUUCGUAGAUAUUCGCAAGAACACCAGUGGCGAAGGCGGCUAACUGGCCCGGUACUGACGCUGAGAUACGAAAGCGUGGGGAGCAAACAG